rnacentral:tRNA from 1 species
GGCAGGGUACAGCUCAGUUGUAGAGUGUGUGUUUAACAUGAACAAGGCCCUGGGUUCAAUCCCCAGUACUUCCA